rnacentral:tRNA from 1 species
UAGCUCAGUGGCAGAGCACUUGUCUAGCGUGCAAGAGGCUCUGGGUUCCAGCCCCAG